rnacentral:rRNA from 1 species
CCUACGGGGGGCUGCAGUGGGGAAUAUUGGACAAUGGGGGCAACCCUGAUCCAGCCAUGCCGCGUGUGUGAAGAAGGCCCUCGGGUUGUAAAGCACUUUCAGUGAGGAAGAACGCCUGGUGGUUAAUACCCAUCAGGAAAGACAUCACUCACAGAAGAAGCACCGGCUAACUCCGUGCCAGCAGCCGCGGUAAUACGGAGGGUGCGAGCGUUAAUCGGAAUUACUGGGCGUAAAGCGCGCGUAGGUGGCUUGAUAAGCCGGUUGUGAAAGCCCCGGGCUCAACCUGGGAACGGCAUCCGGAACUGUCAAGCUAGAGUGCAGGAGAGGAAGGUAGAAUUCCCGGUGUAGCGGUGAAAUGCGUAGAGAUCGGGAGGAAUACCAGUGGCGAAGGCGGCAUUCUGGACUGACACUGACACUGAGGUGCGAAAGCGUGGGUAGCAAACAGGAUUAGAUACCCCGGUAGUC